rnacentral:rRNA from 1 species
GACGAACGCUGGCGGCGUGCUUAACACAUGCAAGUCGAGCGGUAAGGCCCUUUCGGGGGUACACGAGCGGCGAACGGGUGAGUAACACGUGGGUGACCUGCCCUCAGCUCUGGGAUAAGCCUGGGAAACCGGGUCUAAUACUGGAUAUGACUCCAUGACGCAUGUUGUGGGGUGGAAAGCCUUGUGCGGCUGAGGAUGGGCCCGCGGCCUAUCAGCUUGUUGGUGGGGUGAGGCCUACCAGGGGCGACGACGGGUAGCCGGCCUGAGAGGGCGACCGGCCACACUGGGACUGAGACACGGCCCAGACUCCUACGGGAGGCAGCAGUGAGGAAUCUUGCGCAAUGGGCGAAAGCCUGACGCAGCGACGCCGCGUGAGGGAUGACGGG